ACAUUUCAACUUGCUCUAAUAGAAUUUCAAAAAAAACAAUUAAAAAAUACGUCCCCUGAAAUCAACACUGGACAGCUGUUAGAAUAGAGUCUUGAGGUAACAAGAAAUCUAUUUAUCCUUUCGCCCGUUUUGAGGGGUGUGUGGAAUUAUACCGGCAGCAGCAACCGUCGCUUAGAAGACAGUCCCAUUCCUUCCCCUGCAUGAACCACAAAGUGAAACAGAAGAGGAGUGCUACCUCCACAGAGAACCUUUUGGCCGCUUCAAGCCCACUUUGCUCGGCGGCGAGGGACUCCAGAACGCCUGCGCAGUACCCAGCAGCCGUUGAGCCCGCGCUUCAGAGACUGGUUCUCCCACAUUUCCGGUGUCCCGGCGUGAGGCUUUCGUAGGACUGAUGGCACAGCUGCUCCGGAUGGGAAGCAUUUUGCUUUGGGUUUCGAGUCCUUACUAGCCUACCGCCGUCAUUUUUAUUUGUUCUGGAACUGACACCAGCAAGGCAGAGAAAGCACUCGUCAAACACCCCGGAGAGAUCCCAUUGCGUCCUCCCUGGAUAGGCAACAGUUGUAGAGGCAGUGUACCCCAGGAAGUGAGAGUGGCUCCUCAAAAGUUCCUUCUCCAAAAACUACACUCAGCAUCUCAGCAUCCAGACGUGGGUUUUGACUGUGUCUAUUACCUGGGAUGGUGCAAAACCAGACAUGUGAAAAGCUGAAAACACAAGUGGCACCUCCACCUUCAGGAGCAUUUCAAUAUAAUGAGUGCUGCAAAAGUAUAUCGGAUGGAUGCCAGAUUCUAUAGUGUCAGCAGACUAUGAUUUACAGACAAUGAAAAAUGGGAAGAGAAAGUUAAAAAAUCUGUUUUAAACUAAUUCCUUACUACCACCGAGGAAAAGAG